rnacentral:Y_RNA from 1 species
AGUUGGUCCGAGUGCAGUGGUGUUUACAACUAAUUGAUCACAACCAGUUACAGAUUCCUUUGUUCCUUCUCCACUCCCAUGCUCCACUUGACCAGCCUUAA